AGAUGAGAUCUCACUGGGAUCUUGAAUCCCCUGAAGGGCCGUCGAAGACUACGACGUUGAUAGGUUGGGUGUGUAAGCGCUGUGAGGCGUUGAGCUAACCAAUACUAAUUGCCCGUGAGGCUUGACCAUAUAACACCCAAGCAAUU
rnacentral:rRNA from 1 species